rnacentral:tRNA from 1 species
GCGAGUCUGGCCGAGUGGUUAAGGCGUUGUGUUUAGGUCAAACCCACAAAGGGUACACGCUUGAACCGCAAUGGGCAUCGCCCGCGUAGGUUCGAUCCCUACGGCUCGCA